AGCUAAUUAUCGCGACCUUUUAAUUACAUUCUUUGAACAAUUCAUCUUUAUAACCUCUACAUAUUGGACACAAGAGCUAGAGCAAAGUAAGCCUUUUCUCCUACUGGAGGUACCCCUAUGGCCAAGUUGUCAGGACCUGAAGGUAAUACGACCCCUAUAAGAAGCACCUCAAGUACUCCCAUCUCUAAGAUCCCUGUGAGAAACAUCCCAGGCACUCUGAUCUUGUCUCUGUGAGAAGCACUCUUGAUCUUGGAGACAGGAUCCCUAUGAGGAGCACCCCAGGCACUCCUGUCUCCAAGAUCCCUGUGAGAAGCACCCCAGGCACUCCUGUCUCUGUGAUAAAGUUGCAACAUGGAAUUGUUUAGUUCAGAGUGUCUCCAACAUGAAGAACAUCAAUGACACCAACAGUCUCAGCUUCUAGCACCCCUUUAUUUGUAUGGUUUGCUCUGUGCCUGCAAGAAUUGCCUGUCACUCAUACUACAGUACUGUUCUGUGUGUCCCAAUAUGUAGAGGUUAUAAAGAAAGAAAAGAUGAAUCGUUCAAAGAAUGUAAUUAAAAGGUCGCGAUAAUUAGGUAAUUAGUGCUAAGGUUAAUCGUGUCCUCCCUCCUCUGGGCUAUAAUCGGGUCACGUUGAGAUUUUGGCGAAGAAAAAGAAAAAGAAAAAAUGGACAACAUAGGACUCAAUGGAACUAGUGGCUCUGGUUGCUGCAGACCGUAACGGUUUGACUUCAAAGUUGGAGGACGCGUUAGCCACUGUACUGAGGACACUUCAGCUCCAUUCUACAGCUCAGAAGGCCUUUUUUCAAGCGUUCUACUCAUAAGCUAGACAAUGCUUCUUAAAUUGACGAUUCGUGACAUUUCGAUCAUUACCUAGAUCAAAGAAUUUGACAAAGUCAAUGUCAAAGUCAAAGUCUUGGAUGUCAAGGACCCUCAAACCGUUGGAAACCAAUUGCAGAAACAGGAGAUUACUAUUGCAGACUCCUCAGGCAACUGUGUUCUCACUAUUUGACAAGAAGCAAUAGGUUCAUUGGAAAUAGGUGAGAGCUAUUACAUUACUAAGCUAACUGUCAGAGUAUUUCGUGGCGAGUAUUCUGUUUCCAUGUCAGCAAAUGGUUCGUCCGUAACUAAACUUGACAACAUUGACGAUGUUGACGAAUGUCUAACCGAAUCUAAUGAACUUUCACUCAUGGGUGCUACCAUCAUUGCUGUCAAGAAGUUCGAAAAGUUCAAUGCUUGCACUUACUGUAAAGGUAAAGUUAAAGUCGUUGAAGAUGACAUCGUCGAAUGCUCAAAAUGUAGUGCAACACUCCUACUGUCUCGUUGCCCUUUUAAUCAGAUGGCUAAACUGGACUUGGAAGGGCCAGAUACCACGUUUGUUACGGUUGUUGUUUACAACGAUUAAUUUAAUCAAAGCCAUUGUCGAACAAGAUCAGCAAACUACUACUUCCCUCCUGAAAGCUAAACCGUUCGAUAUUACGUACAAUCAAUACCAUGUAGCUUCAAGUGUCUCUCGGCGACGUUGACACCAGGAUCAAGCUACAACUAUUAAGAUUUAACAAUUCCUUUUCCCAUGUGCUGUUUCAACAAUUAUUACUCAAAAGCCUUACCUAUGAAUUAGCCUCGAUCCCAAGACAAUUAAAAAGGCCUUGGAUUCGAGGCUAAUAGUGCGUAGCGAGGUUGCACUCCAGUGUAUCCCUAGUUAACUUAUCUGCCAAGUAGGGCGUGGCUGAACCAUAGAGAAGCUGCAUGGCCACGAUCACAAAAGAGAACUAGUUCAUAGAUUUAAGCCAGAUUAGCUCACAGUUUAGAGACUGAAUCGUUUUCCUUGCUAUACUAGCUAGCUAACAGCCUAACUGCAGCAAGAUCUGAAAGAGAAGGGGUGCUCAGCUGGAUAAUCAGAUACAUUUCUCUGUGAUUUGUAUACUUGACUCAGGCUGGUUGGGGGUGCUCGAGCAUCCCUAGCACCCCCCCCCCCCCCCUACGCCCCUGUGCCUCAUAUUAGAUCUGCACAGUGGUAGGUGGCCGCAAAGUUUCUGAAUGAUAGCAUGCCUGCAUGGCAUACAAGUAUAUCUGCACCACUCCUGGCUAUAUACACUAUGCUUUAAAAAUUAUGGAUUGCGAUAGCCUCAGGCCAAUUUUUCUCCAAAACAACCGGGGUAGUGUAAUGAGGCUAUAAUUAUAAGGAUUGAAUGUGCCAUGCAGUACAGCCUGUGGUGACAGGUGGUAUUGUGGUCAUAUGGAACCUGUCUUCAAUGUGACCACAAAGCCAAUAUUGCUAAUACAUGUACACACAGAUAUCAUUAUGUUCUUAUGGUAAUCACAGGGAAACUAAAAAGUGGACUGAAAGCUAACAUUAAUGGCUGCUGCAUCAGUAAAAAGCUUACAGCUCUUUUUCUCACUCUUGCAGCUACGUAUAUACCAAUAGCUAUAGUGUUCUUGUGCAAAGCUAACAACUAAGAACACUCCAUAGACAAGUUUUGCUACGCACUCUUCUGAAAAAGCUGCAAUAACAUUUAUAGGCAUAACUCGAGAACAAUUAAAGCAUUAUUUUGCAAAUCCACGAAUUAAAAUCCAAGAAAACAUGACAGAGGCCUAUAGAAACUCUUAUACUUUAUACUUGCACUUCAUUGAUCCUUGAGUAGCUGUUACAGUAGCAGUCUACAAGCACAUGCAGCAGACACACACACAGGCACAAAGGAAAACAUGCAAACACACUACCGUAUACCGUAUCCACAUUCCUAUAUGUUAUGAAUGUAUACAUUAUGUUAAUGAUAUGCUUACAGCCAUAAGCUCCACACAGAUCCUCAGCAUAUAAGGUGGUCGAUCAGGGUCCUCCCCUUCUUGCGGGUGUGGUAUGAUUCCAUAGGUAUCCUCGAGGACAAGCCGUGGGAUUCGUGAGGCCACGAGGGGCACUGGGGGAAUUAAUGUGAUCUCUCAUUUGGAGUGGCAGGCAGACACUGGGACCUUCAUGCACUGAAUGAGGGCAUUGAUGGUGGAGCUCUUUCCAACAUUGGGGAACUCCACGGCCUGUUGCCAACACAUUUCAGAUGUGCAGAGUGCAUAGCUUCCAUAAAAGCCUCUGGAGUACCACUUUUGGACCUCAGUGUCACCAGAGCGCUGUGCUCAAGGCCAAGUUGGACCAGUCUCUUUGCCUGGGCUGCAGUAAUGCUUGGCUUCCCCAGAGACCUGAUGAGGGCAUCAAAUCGGUGGAACCUCUACUUUUGUGAGGUCCAUAGCUCCAUCUGCUUCUUAGCAGACCGAAUAGGGAGGUUGGGGAGGCAGCUGAUCAGUGCAUGGUGUGUCAUAACUGCCUCCAUCGCCAGGACAUCUGGAAAUGCCCUAUGAGCUCCUGUGCAUGAGUAUGAUCAUAAUAUAACACAGUUUGCCAACCUUCCAGACAAGUUCUAUCGUGUGUAAGUAUAGGUCCUACAUCCCAAGUUUUUUUGCCAGCAAGGUGACUGUCCCCAUUUUUCUUCCUGUGGACAAUACAUGUGCAUGUACAGUGAAUAAUUAUGUAGUGGCCCCGGGUCAGGUAUAUAGAAUCCAUCAUAGGAACCAACCCAUUUUUUGUCAUCACCCCUGUUCACAACAUUUUUUCGUACCUGACCACAGGACCAUUCUGCUAACUUGGUGGCAUGGAUCUCCAGCUUCUGAAGGAUGCGAUGCCAUUGUGUGAUGGAACAUGGUGGAAGACCCAACCAUGCAGCCAUUCAACCGAACGUAUCAACGUGCAGGUGGCCAUUGAGGAGAAAGGACAACACUGCCAUGGAUAGUAUUGUUGCCAUGAACAGCUCAAAUCGUGGAUAGUACAACGUCCAAAGCACUGAAGAGAAACGCCUCCACUCGACACAAAUGAAGACAGUGUAUUAACAUCAAGAGACAACCAACCUGCUGUGCGACUAAUGCUAGUUUAGGAACUUGGACACUCGUGCUGAUUGUACCGAGACUGGGGUCUGUUGGCAUACUUGCGUUUGUCCCAUCUACUACUGAAGGCACUCCUUUGCUACAAAUCUGGCUCUGUAUUUAUGUGGAUUGUGUUAUUUUGUUAUUGUUUGUGUAGCUACCUGAUUUUUUUGCAGCUUGUAGUUAAUUUAAUUGAAGAUAUUCUCACCAAACCACAAUGUUGUUACUUGUGGUUACUACUACCGUAAGACCUCGAUUUAAAGCGACACUUUUUUUUAAUAAUUACGAAGCCAGAGGUCGCUUCUUUUGGAGGUUGAAAAAUUAUAUUGAAGUCCUGGUGUCGCAUAUUUAGAGGGUCGCAUCUAACUUUACAGAGUCCACUUGCCUCGAUUUCAGGUCGCUUAAAAACACUAUUUUCCAAUCGAGGCUAGGGAGUGGCUACAUUUACCUCUAUUUAGAAUGCGACAUUAAAAAAUAAUUGUCAACGCAGCUGUCGCUAUUUUUAGAGGUCAGAAAAUUGCUGAAGCUCCUGGGUGUCGCACAUUUGGAGGGUUGCCUUAAAUCGAGGUCUUACGGUAUACUAGCGUAUGCAUUGAAAUUGAGUGCAAGUCUCAGAUUGCACACGUGAUCUAAACGUUGCAUUUUUGUGGUUAAGUUAUGUCAAUUUGUUACUAUGUGCGCCCACCCUUAAACGAAAAAUUCCCUGGAUCAAAGGAAAUUAUCAGAGCAAUAACCAAUACUUUUUCGGAGCUGGUGAUGCUAAAAAGUUCAAAGAAACCUUGUGGUGUCCAUGAUUCAGAAAAGCAAGAACAAUUUGUUUGACAUAUUGAAUACUCAUGAUGAUAAACUGUUUUGAAACAAUAAACAUCCUGAAUGGUAACACUUGUUCGAUCCCUAUACAGAGAAUGGCAGGACACCAAUUGUAAAGGCCACUGCACUAAACAUUUUUUCCAUUCUUGUUGCCUUUUGACCUCUGAGAUCAAAGGAAAUGCAGUGCCAAUAUAUAGCAUAUUGCACUGUGGUCAGUUCUGUAUAUGGCAUACAGAAAUAGAGUGAAGAUCCCAUCUCCCAUCCAAUCAUAAGACAGUUAUGCAUUAUUAUGCUAGACAGCAUAAUAGCUAAUGCAUGGCAGUUACUAUAUAUAGGUUAUAGGCUGAGUCCAAGGUCUCUAUGGGGUUUUGAGAACCGAAGGUCCGAGGCUGUAGCAUCCCGAGCGUAGCGAGGGUGCUACUAAGGGCCUAAGGGUCUCAAAACUCCAUAGUGACCGUUGGACGAGGCCUAUAACUGAUUUAGAAUAGUGCUAAGCAAGCUAAGCUAUUAUUAACACAAAGAAGACUCUGUUUCUACAAACCUCAAGCAACAUUAAAAGCUUUGCUCUGGCUAGUCUACAUAAAAAAAAACUCACAUUGAAGGCAGUUUCCGUCUCUUGCAUAGCAAAACCGGUUAAUAGAAAGUUGCUAUUCUACUUAGUAGUUAGCUCUGCACUAGAGCACUAGCUAUUGGUAACUGCAAGAGUGAGAUAAAAGCUACAAAGCGGCACUGCAGAACACACAGUCAAACAGCAACUGGAAUAAAUGCGAGAAGUUUAUUUUCCAGGAAGUGGGCGUGUCCGGAAGCAAAUAGCUGGUGCCAUUGUGUGAGUAGCUGCCUGUAGUUAGAGCUGUGUAGCAUAGACCCAGACCACUGUUAGAAGCUGUUUAAAGCUCAGAAGGCCAGUCAUGACUUUUGUCUCUAUAUUCUCCUUGUCACUGUCACUGGUCUUCGCUGUCCGAGUCCAAUUCAAUUUCCGGCUCUUUCGUUUCAGCAAUCUCUCUGCAAAUGGACCAGAAGUACACCCUGGUCCACAGCCACAGUAAUAAUGGCUGUAUCCCACUGCUGCUAACAUUUAGAAAUGCUUAAAAACUCGCUAUUACGUGGCAAAUAACGGUGAGAUUAAUUAACCUGUUGCUCGUUAAUGUUGGAUGUUCAGGAAUAAUUUAUGAGUAACAUUACAGGUUUAUUCCACUUGCUAGGUAUACUAAAUAAGCUGGGUAGGUUAGCUGAGCUUCUCUACAGUGGGGUAAGCAUAUACAGUGGUCUGUUCAGGCAAUUCCUGAUAAAAAAAAUUAUUUGACCUGUAAUAAUAGCGUAUUUUUCAUACCACACAGAAUACAAGUACGACUGAUCUGAACGAUGCUUGGAAUGUAUUGAGGAGGACAUCUGUUGGAUGUAAUACACAAAAUGUGGCUUAUUGUGUGCUCACAUAUCUCCGACUAGUACUAUUUUGUGGUUUUUUAUACAGCAUUUUCAACGAUGCAUUUCUCGACUCUCAAUGGGUCGACACGAAAAACAAUUACAUAUAGAUGUUCAUCAAUCCUAUAAGAUAGCACUGAACAUGUUCAAAUUCAUCUCAUACCUUUGCAACAAUUUGUCAGUUCAGUUUGCUGUGGCAUGUAAAUUUGUCUAAAUUUG